rnacentral:rRNA from 1 species
CCUACGGGUGGCAGCAGUGGGGAAUAUUGGACAAUGGGCGAAAGCCUGAUCCAGCCAUGCCGCGUGUGUGAAGAAGGCCUUCGGGUUGUAAAGCACUUUCAGUGGGGAAGAAAGCCUUGGGGCUAAUACCCUCGAGGAAGGACAUCACCCACAGAAGAAGCACCGGCUAACUCCGUGCCAGCAGCCGCGGUAAUACGGAGGGUGCGAGCGUUAAUCGGAAUUACUGGGCGUAAAGCGCGCGUAGGCGGUCUGAUAAGCCGGUUGUGAAAGCCCCGGGCUCAACCUGGGAACGGCAUCCGAGGGGUCAGGCUAGGGCGUAGUAGAGGAGGGUAGAAUGCGCGGGGUAGCUGUGAAAUGCGCAGAGAUCGGGAAGUAUAUCAGUGGAGCAGGAGGCGUUAUGGAAGUACCAUGGCGAUGAGGUGCGAAAGCAUGCGUAGCAGUCGGGAUGAGAGACCCUUGGAGAC